AGAUUGAACGCUGGCGGCAGGCCUAACACAUGCAAGUCGAGCGGUAGAGAGGCGCUUGCAUCUCUUGAGAGCGGCGGACGGGUGAGUAAUGCCUAGGAAUCUGCCUAGUGGUGGGGGAUAACGUUCGGAAACGGACGCUAAUACCGCAUACGUCCUACGGGAGAAAGCGGGGGACCUUCGGGCCUCGCGCCAUUAGAUGGAGCCUAGGUCGGAUUAGCUAGUUGGUGAGGUAAUGGCUCACCAAGGCGACGAUCCGUAACUGGUCUGGAGAGGAUGAUCAGUCACACGUGGAACUGGAGACACGGUCCAGACUCCGUACGGGACGCAGCAGGUGGGAAUAGUU
rnacentral:rRNA from 1 species